CCUACGGGUGGCAGCAGUGGGGAAUAUUGCACAAUGGGGGAAACCCUGAUGCAGCGACGCCGCGUGAGUGAAGAAGUAUCUCGGUAUGUAAAGCUCUAUCAGCAGGGAAGAAAAUUACGGUAGCUGACUAACAAUCCCCGGCUAACUACGUCCCAGCAGCCGCGGUCAUACGUAGGGGGCAAGCGUUAUCCGGAUUGACUGGGUGUAAAGGGAGCGUAGACGGCGCUGCAAGUCCGGAGUGAAAGCCAAUGGCUUAACCAUGGUACUGCUCUGGAAACUGUGGAGCUGGAGUGCGGGAGGGGCAGGCGGAAGUCCUAGUGUAGCGGUGAAAUGCGUAGAUAUUAGGAGGAACACCAGCGGCGAAGGCGGCCUGCUGGACCGUAACUGACGUUGAGGCGCGAAAGCGUGGGGAGCAAACAGGAUUAGAUACCCUUGUAGUC
rnacentral:rRNA from 1 species